AGCGAACGCUGGCGGCAGGCCUAACACAUGCAAGUCGAACGAACCUUUCGGGGUUAGUGGCGGACGGGUGAGUAACACGUGGGAACGUGCCUUUAGGUUCGGAAUAACUCAGGGAAACUUGUGCUAAUACCGAAUGUGCCCUCCGGGGGAAAGAUUUAUCGCCUUUAGAGCGGCCCGCGUCUGAUUAGCUAGUUGGUUGAGGUAAUGGCUCACCAAGGCGACGAUCAGUAGCUGGUCUGAGAGGAUGAUCAGCCACAUUGGGACUGGGACACGGCCCAAACUCCUACGGGAGGCAGCAGUGGGGAAUCUUGCGCAAUGGGCGAAAGCCUGACGCAGCCAGGCCGCGGGAAUGAUGAAGGUCUUAGGAUGGUAAAAUUCUUUCACCGGGGACGAUAAGGACGGUACCCGGAGAAGAAGCCCCGGCGAACUUCGU
rnacentral:rRNA from 1 species